rnacentral:rRNA from 1 species
GACAGAGGGGGCAAGCGUUGCUCGGAUUUACUGGGCGUAAAGGGCGCGUAGGCGGCCUCUGCAAGUCGACUGUGAAAUCUCCGGGCUUAACCCGGAAAGGUCAGCCGAUACUGCAGGGCUAGAGUGCAGAAGGGGCAACUGGAAUUCUCGGUGGUAGCGGUGAAAUGCGUAGAUAUCGAGAGGAACACCUGCGGCGAAGGCGGGUUGCUGGCCUGUUCGUUGACGCUGAGGCGCGAAAGCUAGGGGAGCAAACGGG